rnacentral:lncRNA from 1 species
UUCUCCGAGUAGAAGGGGAAUAUAACAGUCCGUUAACUUUAAUUAUCUUUAUAGUUAUUUUAUUUAAAUUUUAAUAACGGUUUGUCAUUAAAUUAUACUUAAAAAUAAUAAGAUCUAAUUAAAAUAAAUCUUUGACUGACGUCAUACUUAACUAUUAGUUGGCACAAGUACUUCAGUUGGUAUUAGACACCAUUCGCUGUCAUGUAAGUUUCGUUCUGUGGGGCUUCUCGUCUAACGACGAGAAAUAUUGGACACUUCGCUUGGUACGCUAGAACGGAAAAGUGGCAGAUGACUGAUUGAAAAGGACGGAAAUUUUAAUACAAUAGUUUCAAGCUUUUAUAAGUGAUAUUUAGUGGCAAAUUAUUGGUGGUGUUUUGGAGAAGCUAGGAGACUAAGUUUUGGGAGAUCCCGGAGGAAUUGGAAGUCAUGUCAUCUGCCACUUGGGGGAAAUCUUAAACUGUAACCAGUCCGUCAGCUCCCCUCACAACUGGGAGCAACCGUUCUACGCCAAGCCAGGUCAUUUGGAGACCAGCCUGGAGAACCUCCCACAUACCUACUUUGUAUCCUGCCCUCUGCACCCCAGAAGGGCAUCGGUAUAUUAAUUGGUACAAGCUAGCACCACCCCUGUGCUAAUUCGCCUACCAGGGAUUUUGGAAUCCGUAGCAAGGACACUCUCGGGGACCAUAUAGGGUUUGUUUUGGGACACUUGGUAUCUGCUAGUGAUUGUCACUUCCACUAUUACACCACAUUCAUUUUUUGUAUAAGACUCGGGACAUUUAUUUUGAUGAUUAAGUUUUAUAGUUUAUCGCACAUAUUUUGUUUCAAUAUUUAAGUUGCAUAUUGUUUUUAUAUAUCUAUAAUAGUUGAUAGUGUUCCCCAAACCAGUAAACUCUCUGGUCAAAGAGGUUUGAGCUCAGAUCAUCUUUUCCCCAUAUGAGAUUCUCUUUACCUUUAUAUAUUACCUGAAAUUUACUUGUACCAUUUAUUUACUUAAUUAACUUUAUAUUUUUAGUACUAACCUUGCUUGUCUCCACUUAUCAAUUUAAAUUUAUAUACUUUUUCCUCUUAAUUUGCUUAAUUUAUUAACUUAUUCAUAUAACUUUAAUCUUUCUUUAGUCAAUCAUAAUUAUUUAACUUAUUUGCUUAACUUUACUUAAAUUCAUUUAAUCAAUUUUUAAUUAUAUCUUUGGACGCUAUUCUCUUUGAAUAGCUAUCCAUUUUACUUGUUAUAUUUUUUAGUGACUACGUGUCGAAGCAACUGAUUUUUAUAUAUCAAGUAGACCGUAGGUUCACCUUAAUGAGGCUAGUGCCUAUUUAACUCUUUGAGAGUUACGGAAAUUAUUCAUUGUGAAUAAUCCUCCCUUAAUUAUAUUCUUGUUCAUUAGUUCUAUAGGGUUUAACGUUGCUGUACGUAUUGCAAUCGUACAAUUAUUUGGUGAAGGUGGUUAUUUAACCUAGUAUAUGUAAGUUGGGGGUACGCUCCAUAUAAGAGCUACUCCAUUACUAAUGUAACUAUAGAUUAUAUUUAUAUUACUAUAGGUAAUUAUUUCCCAUUGUCAUUUUAGAGUUACAUAGUUUGUAUUUUUCUAACUCAGAGGUUGUCAAAAAUCUAAGUAGUUAUAUUUAAUAAAUAUUUAUUUGUUUUUGUA